rnacentral:rRNA from 1 species
GAUGAACGCUGGCGGCGUGCCUAAUACAUGCAAGUCGUACGGAAAGGCCCUUCGGGGUACUCGAGUGGCGGACGGCUGAGUAACGCGUGGGAACGUGCCCCAAAGUGAGGGAUAACGCACCGAAAGGUGUGCUAAUACCGCAUAUGGUCUUCGGAUUAAAGCUUCGGCGCUUUGGGAGCGGCCCGCGUACGAUUAGAUAGUUGGUGAGGUAAUGGCUCACCAAGUCGACGAUCGUUAGCUGGUCUGAGAGGAUGAUCAGCCAGACUGGGACUGAGACACGGCCCAGACUCCUACGGGAGGCAGCAGUAAGGAAUCUUCCACAAUGGGGGCAACCCUGAUGGAGCAACGCCGCGUGCAGGAUGAAGGUUUUCGGAUCGUAAACUGCUUUUAUAAGUGAAGAAUAUGACGGUAACUUAUGAAUAAGGAUCGGCUAACUACGUGCCAGCAGCCGCCGCCG